UACGUAGGGUGCAAGCGUUGUCCGGAAUUAUUGGGCGUAAAGAGCUCGUAGGCGGUUUGUCGCGUCUGCUGUGAAAACCCGAGGCUCAACCUCGGGCCUGCAGUGGGUACGGGCAGACUAGAGUGCGGUAGGGGGAGAUUGGAAUUCCUGGUGUAGCGGUGGAAUGCGCAGAUAGUCAGGAGGAACACCAAUGGCGAGGCAGACUCUGGGCCGUAACUGACGCUGAGGAGCGAAAGCAUGGGGAGCGAACAGG
rnacentral:rRNA from 1 species